AUCAGAGUUAAACUUGUUUUGAAAAGUAAUUAUGCCAGCAAUAAGAUUUCAAUCUGCAUAUAGAAACAGAAAAGUUUAAUGGAAUAAUCAAUUUUGGCUUGUGGCAUAUUCAAGUCAAGUAUAUAUUAGUUCAAUCUAGGUUACAUAAGGAAAGCAAAAGCAAUGUAAACCUUCGUAGGAACUCGUAGAGGUAUGUGGACAAUUAAGGCACUUUGAAGAAGAUUGUCGAAAUAGAGCAAGUUUGGCAAAUAAAUAUAAAUCAGUAGAUGGAGAUAUUGAUAAUAUUAGCUAAUGGUGUGUCUCUUUAGUCCAUUAGAGAUCGGUUUAUCUUUUUUUGGUGUGCCAUGGAAAAGAGUGUGUCAUUGUUAGUGGGUCUAUAAGAUUUGCAUUCAAGGCAUGUGUUUGACAUUUGUGCAAGCUAUAUGAAGUAAUUUUUAUGUUGAUGGUGCUGGAGGCUCUCAAGGAGCCAAACAUGAGAGUGGGUAAUUUUAGAAAUUUAAUCGAUAUGUACCGAAUAUGUGUACUUUGGAUAAGAUAGAGUAUGACAAUUAUUGGUGUACAGAAUUACAGCGUCUGGAUAGAGACCAUAAUGGAGUGAUUUCAUAAGCUCUAUGCGAAUAUGGUUUUGGUGCAGUAAAGGAGGUAGAGAUGACAUGGCUAUGGAUACACGGUGGAUCAUGUUUUGUCACCUAAUUGAAAAACUCACUAAAGUGGAGAUUGUAAGGAAAUAUCUCCUAUUUCUUGAUGAGGAUUUGUAAAUCUUAAAUAGGAUAUUUUCUAGGUUUUUCUUAUUUAAUAGUUUUCUUAUUUAAAAGGAUCCUUAUUUGAGGAAUAAGUAAUUUCCUUUUAGAAUUUAGUUUAUUCAAGAAUGAAUAUAAUUUCUAUAAGGAAAUGAAUACUACUUGUAAAAAAAAUAAUCACUAUACAUAAGGAAGUUGUGUCUACUUGUUUACAUAAUACAACAAUCAAUUUAUUUGUAAUUAUAUAGUUUCUAAUGUGAGAGAAUAGUGGGUCUAUUGAGAGAUUGGGUGUUAUUAAGGUUUUGAGUGUGAGGAAAAUACUAAAAUAAUUAUAAUAAUUUUCUACAUAGUAGAUUUUUCUCCCGUCGUCCUUGGCGACUGUGAUUUUUCUCUGAUACAAAGUUUUUCAUGUAAAUUCUUGUGUUAUAUAGUUAAUAUUAUUCUGAAAUACUAACUAAGCAAUCCAAGAGGGGGGUGAAUUAGGAUUUUUAAAAUUAAGUUAAGCAAACCACACAUAAAUCCAAUCUAAUGCUUUAAUAAAUUCGAAAACAAUAAAUUCAAUGAAAGCACAAUAAUAAAUUAGCAAGGGAAGAGAAAGCAAACUUAAGGAUUUUUACGUGGUUCGGCAAUCCCCGCCUACGUCCACGCCUCCAAGCACACCGGGCUUGAUGAUUUCACUAUCCAAGCCUUUCUAAGGCUUCAAACGUUUACAAUUGACUUCAAGGUGUCAAUGAACCUUUACAACAAGAGAUUAUCUCUCCAAUCUCUUCACUCUAAGUGUUUCUCACACUUGUACACUCACAAUUUGAUGAGAAAUGAAAAAUACAACAAUGAAUCUCUCUUUAAGAGUGGAUAUACAAAUUGAAGAACAAAGAUGAUUUAAUAAAUGAUGAGUUACAAAAUUGAAGCUCAAUAUAUGUUGUGUGCACUUGUUCUUGCUUGCUUGGAUUUGCCAAAAAUGAAUUGGUUUUGAGUUUAUAUAGUUUGAACUCAAAAACUAACCGUUAUGCACAUUCUAGGCGUAUCCGGUUUGCCGUUUAUGGAAUCCAGUAAGCCAGAUUUAUGUUACCGUUAAGGCAAAAAUUUGAAUUUUGCCUAUUCGGCUUGCCGGUUAUGAAAUCCGAUAAGCCGUUUACGUUCUGGAUACAUUCUGCCCAAUAUCCGAUUUUUUGGUUUUUAUAUCCGGUAAGCCGGAUGCUACAGUAACCUGUACAUUGCACUAUUUUCUAAAAUUAUAGUUCGAUCCCAAAACUUUACAAAACUAUAUUACGGCCCAAAACGUUAUGAAACUUGGCAAAUAGGUCCGAUUUCAGAAUUUCUAAGUAAUGCUUUGUUAAUCUCAAAACUUUUUGAAAUUAUGAUAUAGCCCAAAAAGCUAUGACACUUUUCAAAUAAGUCCUUCUCCAAUAUUUCAAGCAAUACUUGUUUAUUUCAAAGUUUUCAAAAUUCUUUCAAUUAAACCAUAAACUUUGAAAAACAACCAAUUUCAUAAAAUCAUUUUUCCAUUAAAUAUGAAAC
rnacentral:lncRNA from 1 species